GCAGGAUAGCAAUACAGAGAGCCACGCCCUCAACCAAAACGCCACUCUAUAGCCACAAAUAAUGCUCAGAACAGCACCUAACUUCAUCAACAGGACAUAUAGGGUCACAGCCGUAGUACUAGACACCAAACAUCUUUUUAACUUUGACUCAUUUCUUUAGCAAAGAGACUAAACACAACUCACCUACUCUCUUCCAGCAGCCGCUUGUUUGUAUUGAGACCUCAGGCCAGUCCAUUACGGACUACAGCGGGGUGACGCAGCUCAAGGAAGAACAUUUAUGAUCAUUUCUUUAUCAUUUCCUUGAAGUAAUAAUCACC
rnacentral:lncRNA from 1 species